rnacentral:pre_miRNA from 1 species
AGGAGCAACAGCCCUAGUGGCGGGGCCAGCUCUGGAAACCUGGAUUCAGCCCCCGCAGUAACUCCAAGCUCUCCGUCUGCAGGGCCUGGAGGCUCCGGGGCGGG